UCUCCAUGAAGUGAGUAAGAAGUAGUAUUAGAGUAUGUUAAAAUGUGAGAAAACAUCAGAUUAGCCACAUUAAAAAUGCUUUUAUUUCAUAGUUUUCAGACAGUAUAUCACUUCCUGAUAUUACGUUUUAAAUACAUGUUUCUUUGCUUCAAAAAUCAAACACCUGGUGUCCAG